CAACCUAAGAGUUUGAUCCUGGCUCAGAACGAACGCUGGCGGCAGGCCUAACACAUGCAAGUCGAACGUGAAGCCGCCCUUCGGGGCGGUGGAAAGUGGCGCACGGGUGAGUAACGCGUGGGAACCAACCCUGAGGUACGGAAUAACGGCUGGAAACGGCUGCUAAUACCGUAUGUGCCCUACGGGGGAAAGAUUUAUCGCCUUGGGACGGGCCCGCGUCGGAUUAGCUUGUUGGUGGGGUAACGGCCCACCAAGGCUCCGAUCCGUAGCUGGUCUGAGAGGAUGAUCAGCCACACUGGAACUGAGACACGGUCCAGACUCCUACGGGAGGCAGCAGUGGGGAAU
rnacentral:rRNA from 1 species